UACUUAUAAAAGAGUUUGAGAGAUGGAAGGAGGUGGAAAAAAGAGAGUAAACAAUAGGAGGAGAAGAAAAAAAUAAGGUAGAAAAGAGAACAGUAUAUACUCGAUAUACACUAUGGAUACAGCAGUAUACACGGACAGAAUUUUGGAGUUUCAGCAGUAUACACUCGAUAUACACUCUGGUUACAGCAGUAUACACGGACAGAAUUUAAUUUUUGAGAGUUGAAGAGAGUUCAAAGUUAGAAAGAGAAAACAAAGAGAGAUUUCCAGAAUAUUUUUCUUCUCUAUUUUUACUGGUUUUUCUCCGUAUUGCUGGGAUUUUCUGAAUUGAGGUGUUGAAGCUACUGCUGGUUGUUAUUGUUGUUGUUGAUGUACCUUCACUGCCUUGUUGAUUUCCCAUCUUCCUCUUCUUUUCAAUACCAGGUACAUAUUCUAAAAACCAUGUGUUGAUGUAAGCUCAAAUUGAAAGUUGAAGUUUGAAAUAAAAUAGAAAAACAAGUUGUUGAUUAAUAUUUGUUGUUAUUUUCUGUUUUAUUAGUUUUGUCAAAUUAUAGUUAGUUCUAUAAUUUGUAAAAUAAAUUCGUCAUUUAGUCGGCUUGUGAGGGAACAUCUUUUGUACUAAUAUAGAGUAGUCUUUUAUGCAUGUAAUUAAUUAAGAAUCUUCUCUUUUAUUUUUAGAGACGAACUUCAUAUAGAGCAGCCUUUUAAGCAUGUAAUUGAUUAGGAAUUUUCUCUUUUAUUUUUAGAGACGAACUUAAAUAGAAAAAUGUAGUCACUCUAGGAUUACCCUUUAAAAUAAAUGAGACGUGCCUCGCCAAAUAAAAAUGCAUAAAUUGUGUGCCCCUCAUUAAAUGUAUAUAUUAAAAAUACUUAGACUUCGGGAUUAGCCGUUUUAGCAAUUUUCACGGCCUUCCCCAAAAAUAAUAACGCGCUAGACUCUUUAGGCGCGUGUUUUAAUAACAUUACCUCCUUAAACUCGGGUGUAGACUGGUUGUGACGUGGUUAGAGACACGUUUUUACGAUGUUGCAAUUCUAUUAAAAAAUAACAAUAAAAGCGGUUUCAUGUUAAUAAAAGCACAUAAGUUAUAACAUGUAUAAAAAUCUGAUAUUUAGUAGGUGUACAUUUAUGUGACCCAAAUCCAAAUCUCAACAGAGUCGAAGUGUGUCAAUAAUUACGUGCACACUGGUUGUGACGUGGUUCGAGACACGUUUUUACGAUGUUGCAAUUCUAUUAAAAAAAUAACAAUAAAAGCGGUUUAAUAUUAAUAAAAGCACAUAAGUUAUAACAUGUAUAAAAAUCAGAUAUUUAGUCACUACAACAAUUUAAGCGACCAUGCUAGAACCACAGAAUCCGGGGUGCCUAACACUUUCCCUCGGGUCAACAAAAUUCCUUACUUAGAAUUUCUGGUUCGCAGACUUCAUUUGGAAAGUCGAAUAUUUUCCUCGAAUUGGGAUUCAAGAUAAACCGGUGACUUGGGACACCAAAGGCCAAACCUACCCCAAGUGUCGACUCUAAAAUAAAUAAAUAAUCUUAUUUCAUUAAUGUCACUUUAAUUGAAAAACUCCCUUGCGCAUCUAUCCCCCGGAGUAAGGUGCGCCAAAAGGAGGUGUGCUAGCUCUGGCGACUAUGCUGGGGAUACAAACCCAGAACUUCGGUUCAGGGUUCAGAAUUCGAGCUUAGAUAAAUUGUUGUAUUUUGUUAUAUCUGAUAUUUCUAUAUGAUUUAUGCUUAAUGUGCUUACCGCUUUGAUAUUUGGUGAAUUGUACAUAUGAACUGUGAUGAAACACAUCCUCCCUCUGAGUCUUCUAAUAGGUAGUUAUGUUGUGUUUGCCUACCAGCAUCACAAAAAUUUAUGUCUUGAGAUAAAUCCAAUUAUCCUUGCAGCUUCUAGUCAAGGAUGUAGUCACACAUGUUUAGGCGGGAGAGUCGUUGGCUAGCCAGUGUUGUUCUACUACUAGUGACGCCUGACGCUCCUCGGCUCGAGUCGUCCGCUCGGGUAGGCCAUGUCUAGAACAAUAAACCCAAGUUUAACUUUGUAUAAGAAAGAUUCAUGCCGGAUCCCUAGUAGGAACGCUUGUUUGCAUCAUGUUGCAUUUGACUUAGGGGACCCAACGCAGGGGUUGGGUACAUCUAGGAUUAGCAACCUGAAAUGAGAAAGACCAUCCUGAUGCAUCCUACUUGUUUUUCAGUGCAUUUAUUUGUUCGGGCUUGCAUGUUGACUAGCUUCUGAAUCUUGGAAUGUUAGAAAAUUAAAAAAAAAAAGAAAAGAAAAAGAGAAAAAUAGCGAUUGGAGAGUUAAUAGAUUGUUUUGAAAAAACUAAUGCCCAAAUACUGCCAAAACUCUGCCGAAAUCUUAAAAAUAUGAAAAAAAUAUUUUAUUUUUAACAGUUUGUUUUACUAAAAAGCCAAGGGAAAUAGAGAAAAAAAUAAAGUAUUUCAUUUUGGGAAUUGUUUGCUGAAAAAGAACAAAGAAAAAAGAGUCCUUUAGUUUGUGAAAAAUAUGUUUUAUUGGUUGUUGAAAAGAAAAAAAAAGAUUCUUUAUUUUAAGUUCGAAAAAAUAGGUUGUUUUAUUGUUAUUAAAAAAUAAAGGAAAGAGAGGCAUAGGUUGUUUUAUUAAAAAAUGAAAAAAAAGUCUUAUUUUUUGGGGAAAAUACAUUGUUGGUUGAAAAUGAAAAAGGAAAAAGAGUCUUUUAUUUUAGUCUUGUUUUCGUAAAUGAAAAAGAGAAAAAUAGUUUGUUUUGACAUAGCAAAUAAAAAAAAAGUAUUUUACUUUUAGGCUAUUUUACUGUUUGUUGAAAAGAAAAAGGAAAAGAGUCUUGUUUUAAAAGUAGUUUUUUUAAUUUGCUUAUGAAAUGCCAAAAUAAAAAUGUAAAGAGUCUUGUUUGCAAAAAUAGUUCGGUUAAUUUGACCGAACUACGCGGGUCUGCUUCUCACCGGAUGUGAGAUACAUAGGCAAACCUUAUCGGUUCCGGCCCCAAUUUUCAAAAAACCCAAAAAAUAUUUUCAUUACUUCAUUCUUUAGAAAAAUCUUUCUUUAAGACCCCAAUUUUCAAAAAAUCCAACAAUAUUUUUUCUUUAGUUCCUUCUUUAAAAAUCUUUCCUUAGAAAAUUCGAAAACAAAAAGUAUUUUAUACACAAGAAAAAAAUGGAUUCCUUAUUUCUAAUCUCUUUCAUGAGAAAAAAGAAAAGUCAAUAAAAAUCAAAAUCAGAAACAUGAGUUUCCGUCAUUUUGAAGUAUUUUUUCAAAAAAUAAAAAAAAAAUCAGAAACAAAAAAAGACAAAAAUACUCUUUAGAUGUGGACUCAGAGUUAAGCUUGCCAAAGAGAAGGAGAAGAAUGAAGGCAUGCUACAACAAAUGCUCAAUCUGCUAAAAGUCCAACCCUCUAGCUCAUCCAAGCCUUAGGAGUCCUGUGUCUAGGUUCCAGUCUAGUCCCCCCCCCCCAGUGACAAGUUUAUUUGGUUCCUAGUCUGUUUUUUCUCUUUUGUGCUCAUGGUUGGAAGUUUCAUGUUUCUUUUUGUGGACUGCUUGGUGGGAACAUUUCUGAAUCAGUGAAUGAAACUUUUCUAGUUUUGUUAAUCUUGUUCAAUAUAGUUAUUUCUGAGUUGAUUUAUGAUUGAACAUGUGAUCACUUGGAGUUGCUCCAGCGGCCAUGAGUAGAUAUUAACCUCGUAAAUUCACAUCAUUUAUGUAACUUUUUGAUGAUGCCAAAAGGAGAAAGAUAUUGUGCUUAAAAUGUUUUUCUUAACUAAAGAUGUUUAUGACCUAAAUCUGACCUCCUUAAUGAUAAGUUAAAUGAUUUUCUAAGUGUUGAUUUCAGCUAAGUCUACAGUUCCUGAUUAUAAUAAGCACAGAGUUUGUCAUCAUCAAAAAGGGGGAAAUUAUUGGCCCAAGUUUCAGUUGAAGUUUUGAAGAUUGACAAAUGAAAUGAUAGAAGGACCUGGUCCAUAUUGUAUUACAGAGUCUGAAUCAACAAAGGCACAUGCAGAGCACGUGAGGAAGAUAAUGCACCAAAGAUCACGCAUCAUCAAUAUCUUCUGAUCAUAAUCGAAAAGAUUGCAUUNNNNNNNNNNNNNNNNNNNNNNNNNNNNNNNNNNNNNNNNNNNNNNNNGAUCAUAAUCGAAAAGAUUGCAUUGGGAUAAGGAGGACAGUCUCCUUAUGUGAAGAGAACUUAAUCCUAAGUUAGGAUAAGGGUUGGAGUUUGCAUUGAGAAAGGACUCGAAGUGUGAACGGAUAAGAAAUGGAGUCUUAAUCAAACUCUAACUGCUAACUCAAUAUAUGAUUGAGUUAUUUCUAUUUUCAGGCAACACACACAAGAAGAAGUAAAAGCAUAUUUGAGAGCUAAAGAGUGAAGUCUGAUUAGCAAGAAAUAUAUGCAAGUUACAAGUGUGGACGCAUAUAGCUACAUGAACCUAGAAAAGAACCAGUUCCAUCUGAUUGUUUUAUUUAUAGUUCAAUUGUAGUAGGUUUAAUAUUGUACCUGUCAGCUUAAUUAGAAGCAAUUGUAUUAGGUACGUUGUGUCAUCACGUUACAGUUAACUUGAUAGUGUCGCAGCAGCUAAGGCUGUCUGCCAUACUAGGAUUAGAGUUUAAUCCUUAGGUUUACAAGAGUUUUAUAAAUGUUGUCUUUGGCUCAUUGAUUUUAGUGGAGUUUGGGAAACUCCUACUGAGUAGUAGGUCGUGGUUUUUUCACCUUUUGAGCCAGGUGUUUUUCACGUAAAAAUAUCUAUGCAUUUUACUUUCAGUUUUUAUUAUUCCGCAAACUGCAGUAGUUUAGAAGAACCAGGUUCUCCUAAUGCGAAAAUUAGGUACGUUUGGCUCAUUGAUUUUAGUGGAGUUUGGGAAACUCCUACUGAGUAGUAGGUCGUGGUUUUUUCACCUUUUGAGCCAGGUGUUUUCCACGUAAAAAUAGUUGUGCACUAUAUUCAGUUUUUAUAUUUCCAAAUGCAAUAGUUAGAACACUUAGAAGAACAUGGUUCAUCUAACACGAAAAUUAGGUACCACACAAAUCAUCACCCCCCCUCUUGUGUGGUAUUGACAUUUAUUUACAUCAGAAAAUCUGAUGGUUCCCUUAGUUCUGUUGGGUGAUUUUGGGCUUAGGGUCGUGUUCGGAUUGUAUUUUGGAGGUCCAUUUCUAAUUUAGGCUUGAAAUGUCGAAAGUCGAAUUUUAAAGUUUUCGGUUUAGUAGUGAGAUUUUGAUCUGAGGGUUGGAAUAGACUUUCAGAAGUUGGAAUAGCUCCAUGGUGUUGAAUGUGACGUGUGUGAAAAUUUUCAUGUCAUUCGGACGAGGUUUGAUAGACUUUUUGAUCGAACGCGUAUUUUUAGAAUUUUGAAUUUUUUAGACUUGAAUUCGUGGUUGAUUCAUCGUUUUCGAUGUUGUUUUAGAUAUUUUAAGGAUUGGUAUAGGUUUGGACAGCGGUAUUAGACUUGUUGGCGCCUUUGGUUGAGGUCCCGGGGGCCUUGGGAUGAUAUCAGAUGGUUGACAGAAGGAUUUUGGAGUUUGGAGUUGCAGCUUCAGCUGCUGGUUUUCUGUAAUAACAGCACCUGCGAGUGUGGGACCGCAGGUGCGGUGCCGUAGAAGUGGAUAUGUGGCCGCAGAAGGGAAAUUUUCCCAGAGCUCAAGGAUUCACAGGUGUGACUGGGUUUUCACAAAUGCGGUGAUGCAGAUGCGGACCCAGCUCGUUAAGUGACUUUUCGCACCUGCGAUGCAUUCUUCCACAGGAGUGGGACCGCAGGUGCUCUCUCUUGACCACAAAUGCGGUAAUCGCUGGGCAGAAACAUAUAAAUACUUGCCUUCGUGAAAUUUAGUUGUUUUUAACCUCUUUGCAGGCGGGAAGAAGCUUGGAGAGCAAUUUUCAAGAGGGAUUUUAAAGGAGUUCAUUGGAGUAAGGUCUUUGGUCCCUAAACUCGUUACUGGAAUGGUUUUUAUCAAUCUAAGCAUGAUAAAUUAAGGAAAAUCCGUGGUAAUUUGGGAGUUAGGGCUUGACUAAUUAGAGGCUUUUGAGUAAUGAUUUGAGGGACCAAUUGAGGUCCGAUUUUGGUACUUUUUGUCUGACUGAACUCGUGAGAGUGCGAGGAUUCUGGAAAUACUCCCUCUUUUCAUAUUGUUCGAGGUACUUUCCUUUUUAGUUUGUUCCAAAAUAAAUGACAAAUUUCUAAAUUUUGAAAUAAUUCAACUUUAAACUCUUCAUUUUACCUAUUUUGCCCUUAGUGAGAAGCUUUUAUAGCCACACAAAUGAUAUGGCCCCACAAACCUUUUACCCCUUGAUCUUUUAAGACCAUAAGUUUUAAAAGUUGCCUUUUUUUUACUUAAACUUCGUGCCGAAUCAAACUACCUCAAACAAUAUAAAAUGGAGGGAUUAUGAAUUUUACCUGAUUCCGAGACGUGGGCCCGAGGGGCGUUUCGGUCAUUUUAUUUAAUUUCGUAUAUUAGCUUAGAAUUUAAUUGUAGAAUCGGUUACUUGAAGUGUUAUUUACAUUAUGCAAUUGAAUUUAAUAGAUUUAGGCCAUUUGAAGUCGGGUACUCGUGGCAAAGAUGUGAUUUCAGGAUGAUUUUGAGCUGGUUCGAGGUAAGUGGCUUGCCUAACCUUGUGUGGGGGACCUUCCCCUUAGGAUUUUGGUAUUAUUGAUAAUUGAAAUGCCUUGUACAUAAGGUGACGAGUGCAUACUUGUUCUAAUUAUUGGAAAUUCAAUUUUUAUUAAUUAAUUACUAGUAUGUUUCCUUUCCUGUUUUUAUUACUUGCACUAUCAAAGCAUGUUGUUAGCUUAGAAAAGCAUGUCAAAGUGAUUUAAUUGCUUUAUUUGUCAAACUGCUUUACCUGAAUUCUGUGCAGCAUGCUAGGCUAGAAUUACUUGUUUGCAUUGAUAUGAAAUUUAACAUAUCUGAAUAUUUUCCUGUUAUUGCUGUGUAUUUACAUCGGGAAUACGGAUUUGGGAUUCCGGUAACUCUCCCUUGUCUUUUUAUAUUUGGUACCGCGGAUGUUGGAAUCCGCUAGAUCUCCCUGCACAGUUAUAUGGAACUACGGGACUGUACCGGGUAGAUUUCUCCAGUACCGAGUAUUUAUAUUUGGGACUACGGAACGAAAUUUUGGUAGAUCCCCGCGCACUAUGAGUUGGACUACAGGACGGUAUCCCAGGGGACCUAUUGGAUAUGUAUAUGUGGGACUACAGGAUGGUAUCCUGGGGGAUCCCCGAUUGUUAUUAUUUGGUGUUGAGUUGUAUUUCCUUCUGUGUUUACGUUGCCUCUGUAAUAGUUGUUGUUGUCCUUUAUACCCGUGUUACUUUUACUGUUGUACUUAUUUAUUCUGUUUUGUUCAACACUGUCAAACUUUAUAUUUUAUUUAACCUCAGUAGUACCCUGACAUUCCUCGUCAUUACCGGAUUGAGGUUAGGCUUGGCACUUACUGAGUACUACUGUGGUGUACUCAUGCCCUUUCUGCGCAUGUUUUUCAUGUGCAUAUCCAGGUACUUUGACACAGUCCUAUCACCCUUGAGGCAAGGCGACUGCUCCAUAGACUUCGAGGUAUAUUUAUCGCAUCCGCCGACCGAGGAGUCCCUUUCCAUUCUAUCUUGUAGUGAUAGCCCUUCUAUCUUUCUGUUGAUGUAGACAUUCCGAAAUUAGAGCACUUUUAUUAUUCAUAGGUUGUGAUUUAUGUGUUUC
rnacentral:lncRNA from 1 species